ACGAACGCUGGCGGCAUGCCUAACACAUGCAAGUCGAACGAGACCUUCGGGUCUAGUGGCGCACGGGUGCGUAACGCGUGGGAACCUGCCCUUAGGUUCGGAAUAACUCCCCGAAAGGGGUGCUAAUACCGGAUAAUGUCUUCGGACCAAAGAUUUAUCGCCUUUGGAUGGGCCCGCGUUGGAUUAGCUAGUUGGUAGGGUAAAAGCCUACCAAGGCGACGAUCCAUAGCUGGUCUGAGAGGAUGAUCAGCCACACUGGGACUGAGACACGGCCCAGACUCCUACGGGAGGGAGCAGUGGGGAAUAUUGGACAAUGGGCGAAAGCCUGAUACAGCAAUGCCGCGUGAGUGAUGAAGGCCUUAGGGUUGUAAAGCUCUUUUACCCGGGAUGAUAAUGACAGUACCGGGAGAAUAAGCUCCGGCUAACUCCGUG
rnacentral:rRNA from 1 species